AGAUUUUUCGCCCACACCAGAUGUCUAGACCCUGGUCAGAUAACAGAAAUACACAUUGCCACUAUCUGUAUUCAUCUUGUGACUUCUCCUUGGAAGAAGGAGAGAGGGACCCUAGGAGGGACGUAAAGGAGUUGAUGAAAUCCUGUUCAGACAAUCAGAUGGUAUGGCCUCUAAGGACCCCCAAGACCAACUGGAUGAGGCUAUUAAAAAGGCAGAACGCCUUGCUGAGGAGCUCAACCAAGAGAAGGACCCACAAGCCCAACUGGACGAGGCCAUUAACGAGUCAAAAAGGCUGGCUGAGGAGCUCAACCCAGAAAGGG